rnacentral:misc_RNA from 1 species
GCUCCAUACUCUUCAAAAUGAUUACAUGACUGGCAGUUGAUGGUGGAAAAUAACCCCAAUUUGUAACUUGCAUUUCUCCAGGGUUUGAGAAACUGAUGACUGGUCCUCCAAAAAUAGCUCAUAGGUAUUUCAACUUGUCAUAAGUUGCCAAGUGGGGACUCUUGAUAAUGAUCAUCUGCCAACCAGAGGCCAAAAUCACGUAACCGCUUUACCUUCUUCUCAAAACCUGUGAUGUAAUUGUUGUGAAUGAUAACAUGCUUUCCCUUGGUUUCUUGUACCCAUGUCUGGUUCUUGAAGUACAAUCCUCCUGUUGGGAAUGCUGCCUGUGGCAGCAGGUAUAGAUCCACCUGCCCAGCAGUUUUGUUCAAUGCCCAGUUAAAAGCAGGCUGAUCAUUUGAUUUCUUUGCUUUAGACCAAGGCUGAGCUUGAAGUUCCUCAAUCCACUU